rnacentral:rRNA from 1 species
ACGUUUGAGCGUGUCUCCCUUCUCGGGAAACCCUCUCAACCUCACGAACCCUUGACCUCAAA